CCUACGGGGCGCAGCAGUGGGGGAUAUUGCACAAUGGGGGAAACCCUGAUGCAGCGACGCCGCGUGUGGGAAGACGGUCUUCUGGAUUGUAAACCACUGUCCCCAGGGACGAAAAUGACGGUACCUGGGGAGGAAGCUCCGGCUAACUACGUGCCAGCAGCCGCGGUAAUACGUAGGGAGCAAGCGUUGUCCGGAAUUACUGGGUGUAAAGGGAGCGUAGGCGGGGAUGCAAGUUGGGUGUCAAAACUACCGGCUCAACCGAUAGUCGCACUCAAAACUGCAACUCUUGAGUGAAGUAGAGGCAGGCGGAAUGCCUAGUGUAGCGGUGAAAUGCGUAGAUAUUAGGAGGAACACCAGUGGCGAAGGCGGCCUGCUGGGCUUUUACUGACGCUGAGGCUCGAAAGUGUGGGGAGCAAACAGGAUUAGAUACCCCUGUAGUC
rnacentral:rRNA from 1 species